GAAAUGCGAUAAGUAAUGUGAAUUGCAGAAUUCAGUGAAUCAUCGAAUCUUUGAACGCACAUUGCGCCCCUUGGUAUUCCGGGGGGCAUGCCUGUUCGAGCGUCAUUACAACCCUCAAGCUCUGCUUGGAAUUGGGCACCGUCCUCACUGCGGACGCGCCUCAAAGACCUCGGCGGUGGCUGUUCAGCCCUCAAGCGUAGUAGAAUACACCUCGCUUUGGAGCGGUUGGCGUCGCCCGCCGGACGAACCUUCUGAACUUUUCUCAAGGUUGACCUCGGAUCAGGUAGGGAUACCAGCUGAACUUAAGC
rnacentral:misc_RNA from 1 species